UUUCCGUAGGUGAACCUGCGGAAGGAUCAUUAUUGUCUCUCCUUGGUGCGAGUGCUGUCGCUGACCCGUACUGUCGUGCACGCCCGAGUGCCCUCCCACCCCUCCAUCUCCCCCCUAUUUGCCCCACCGCGUGGGUCCCCCUUUGCCUUGUUCGGCCGGCGUCUUCCGUUUUCACUCCAACUUUGUAUGCCGUGCAGACCCUAUUUUUUGCUUUUGCGCUCUCCUCUUCCCUACCACUUUCCACCACGGAACUCUUGGUUCUCGCAUCGAUGACGACCC
rnacentral:misc_RNA from 1 species